GAUGAACGCUGGCGGCGUGCCUAAUACAUGCAAGUCGAGCGAACAGACGAGGAGCUUGCUCCUCUGACGUUAGCGGCGGACGGGUGAGUAACACGUGGAUAACCUACCUAUAAGACUGGGAUAACUUCGGGAAACCGGAGCUAAUACCGGAUAAUAUAUUGAACCGCAUGGUUCAAUAGUGAAAGACGGUUUUGCUGUCACUUAUAGAUGGAUCCGCGCCGCAUUAGCUAGUUGGUAAGGUAACGGCUUACCAAGGCAACGAUGCGUAGCCGACCUGAGAGGGUGAUAGGCCACACUAGAACUGAGACACGGUCCAGACUCCUACGGGAGGCAGCAGUAGGGAAUCUUCCGCAAUGGGCGAAAGCCUGACGGAGCAACGCCGCGUGAGUGAUGAAGGUCUUCGGAUCGUAAAGCUCUCUUAUUAGGGAAGAACAAAUGUGUAAGUAACUAUGCACGUCUUGACGGUACCUAAUCAGAAAGCCACGGCUAACUACGUG
rnacentral:rRNA from 1 species